GGCGGGGCGCCUGUGGGAGCCGUGGAGGGAACUUUCCCAGUCCCCGAGGCGGAUCCGGUGUUGCAUCCUUGGAGCGAGCUGAGAGCUCGAGUACAGAACCUGCUAAGGCCAUCAAACCUAUUGAUCGGAAGUCAGUCCAUCAGAUUUGCUCUGGGCCGGUGGUACCGAGUCUAAGCACUGCGGUGAAGGAGUUAGUAGAAAACAGUCUGGAUGCUGGUGCCACUAAUAUUGAUGGAGUUUUGCUCUUGUUGCCGAGGCUGCGGUGCAAUGGCACGAUCUCAACUCACUGCAACCUCCGCCUCCCAGGUUCAAGCGAUUCUCCUGCCUCAGCCUCACCAGUAGCUGGGAUUACAGGCAUGCACCACCACACCUGGCUAAUUUUGUAUUUUUAGUAGAGAUAGAGUUUCUCCAUGUUGGUCAGGCUGGUCUCGAACUACUGACCUCAGGUGAUCCGCUCGCUUUGGUCUCCCAAAGUGCUGGGAUUACAGGCAUGAACCACCGCGCCUGGCCCCCGUUCUCCUUACUGGAUCUAAAGCUUA
rnacentral:lncRNA from 1 species